rnacentral:rRNA from 1 species
UACGUAGGGGGCAAGCGUUGUUCGGAAUUAUUGGGCGUAAAGGGCUCGUAGGCGGUUUGUCGCGUCGGGAGUGAAAACACGGGGCUUAACCCCGUGCCUGCUUCCGAUACGGGCAGACUAGAGGUAUGCAGGGGAGAACGGAAUUCCUGGUGUAGCGGUGAAAUGCGCAGAUAUCAGGAGGAACACCGGUGGCGAAGGCGGUUCUCUGGGCAUUACCUGACGCUGAGGAGCGAAAGUGUGGGGAGCGAACAGG